UAUGGUUUGUGCAGUAGUACAUACUGAUGAGUCAGUAAAAUAGAUUAAAUUUAUGUUGGUAUGACCUUGAAUUGAACACUGAUGAUUUUGAUAUUAUACCAACUGUUUAAAUGUCAUGCACAUCUCUUGAGGAGCAAAUUAUUACACUAAAGAUCCAUUAUUAAUUAUACAUCUCCCCAUGAGUCAACUGCAAAACUGUUUAAAUUUCUUUUGUAUCGUUUUUUUUUUUGUAUAAAUAUGAUUUAAUAGCCUAUAAAUUAUGACAAAAUUCAAUAUAAUUCAAUAGUUUUUAGCAUUCUUCUAUGCGAACAUAUUCACAACUACAUUAAAACAUCUUCAGAUCAUCCUCUCAGAUCAAUCACCAUCACACUUGUAAAUGCAGACCACUUGUUUUUAGCAUGUUCAGAUCCUUUUCCUAAAUAUCUAGGAUUUUAUUUCCUCCUACAAUAUUGGAUAGGAGACAGUAAUCUUUUAAUCUAAUGGAAAGAUAUUUAAAUGCUUUUUUCACCACUCCUUUUCCCCAAAUUAGUAGAUGAUUUUUGUGUGAGGUGAUUUUUCUAUCAGGUAAUUUAGUAUCGUUGUUCCAUAGCUUGAAUUUUAUGUCGGAUAUUUCAAUCCGCUUUCUCUUCAGCAUGUUCUGUUGCUGAGUAGAGAAACCUCACAAUGGCCAUAGACUGUUCUAUUGUUUAAAUUCUAUGUAUUUAAACUCAAAACAAUGAUAUAAAACAUGACUUUACUGUAGAAAUGAUAAAUUAAUUGUACAUUGAUUUUAAAGAUAAUAUCUUUGUUUGUGGAAAACAAAAAAGUGCUAC
rnacentral:lncRNA from 10 species